GGUAAGUGGGAUCCACGACCAAAGCGGGGUUAGUCCCAAUAAGUGGGAUCCGCGAUCAAAGCGGGGUUAGUCCCAGGUAAGUGGGAUCCGCGACCAAAGCGGGGCAGCUCCUCUGUAAAGAAAGAGAGAGCAUUACAUUUUAUUGCAGCUGCACUGUGUACUUUCGCUUCUACUUUUGUUUUUGUUUUCUGUGUUUCUUUUGUUGUGUCAUUUCGCUUUUGUUUUUUGUGCUUCUUUUGUUGUUGUGUCAUGGGUGUUGCUUCUUCAAGCCCAAUUUUGUUGGCCCUGGAUGGGUUGCUACGUUCAAAAGGACUUAAGGUAAAGCAGAGCACUUUGCAAAGGUUUUUGAGGGAAGCUGAUAUAGCGGCUCCUUGGUUUGCUUUUUCAGGGAGUCUUACGAUUCCUAGUUGGGAUAAAUUAGGCAAAGAUCUUGACUUUGCUUCUGAGCAGGGCAUAUUAGAGGGUGGGGUGAUACCCCUUUGGAAAAUGGUCCGUAGUUGCCUUACAGAUGUCAGAUGUCAGGAAGCACUUACUAAAGGACAGGAAGUUCUAGAGCAAUUACAUGAGGAGAAAUCGGAGACGGCAGGAAGUGAGGUGCCUCAGGAGGAUGGGAGUGUGCGGAGCGUGAAACAGGGGAGGAGA
rnacentral:lncRNA from 1 species